AUAAUACUGCGUACAGUGUAGUGAUUGUAAUAAUACUGCGUACAGUGUAGUGAUGUGUAAUAAUACUGCGUACAGUGUAGUACUGUGUAAUAAUACUGCGUACAGUGUGGUACUGCAAAUAGUGGAAUACUGCGUAAUAAUACUGCAUAGUAAUACAACAAGCUGUCGGGUAAGAUACGUUCACCUCUACAUGCGUGCUUAUAAAAGCAAAAUGUUUUCAAAUGAAUGGUCCUGUAGCUUGUUUAUGUUAAUGAUAUGACUUCUGAUGGCAUGCAUAUCAGGAGUACGGUUUCCGCGUGGAUCCUUUAACGAGUCUGGGCCUGACUUCGGACAGUAUAGUGAGCUACAGGAUGGGGGAAGUGGAGCGCUCUCACGUUUUCUGAGCUUCCUGAGCUUCUGCCCUGUGGAUACCUGGUUGGAGAAAACAACAUUAUCAACAUCAC
ensembl:lncRNA